rnacentral:rRNA from 1 species
UACGUAGGGCGCAAGCGUUAUCCGGAAUUAUUGGGCGUAAAGAGCUCGUAGGCGGUUUGUCGCGUCUGCCGUGAAAGUCCGGGGGCUCAACUCCGGAUCUGCGGUGGGUACGGGCAGACUAGAGUGAUGUAGGGGAGACUGGAAUUCCUGGUGUAGCGGUGAAAUGCGCAGAUAUCAGGAGGAACACCGAUGGCGAAGGGCAGGUCUCUGGGCAUUAACUGACGCUGAGGAGCGAAAGCAUGGGGAGCGAACAGG